CGGCGGACGGGUGAGUAAUGUAUGGGGAUCUGCCUGAUGGCGGGGGAUAACUACUGGAAACGGUAGCUAAUACCGCAUAAUGUCUACGGACCAAAGCGGGGGACCUCCGGGCCUCGCGCCAUCAGAUGAACCCAUAUGGGAUUAGCUAGUAGGUAAGGUAACGGCUUACCUAGGCGACGAUCCCUAGCUGGUCUGAGAGGAUGAUCAGCCACACCGGGACUGAGACACGGCCCAG
rnacentral:rRNA from 1 species